AGACAAGAAAUACAUGAGAGGGAAAACGGAGGAACAACAUCUGCUGCCUGUGGGUGUAAUCAGACAACAUUUCAACUCAUUGAAGGAAGAAGAAGAAGAAGGGAAAAAAAGAAGAAGAAUCCUUGAAGCGGGGACAAGCUCCAGUCCAAUGUGAAAUUUGGCAUACCAGACAUGUCUUGGCUGAUCAGCGAGAUCUGAGGUAGGCAAAUUAGGCAGGACAGACUUUUCUUUCGAUAAAUCAUUACUAUAGGAAUCCUGGUCUAGUGGUUAAGAACGAUACGUAUUGAUAGAUUUUAACGCCUCUGGGGUCGUAGUAAUGUUUUAAAGCACUUGACUGGUUUGGUUUAUAAUAAUAAUGGAAAGACUGGUAAGAUUUUAAGUGCUUAUAUUCCUUUGUUAUAAAUGAAAUAUUGUCAGCUAACUAGCUGCAUCUAUGUUCAAUAUUUAAUAUUAUUGGAGAAUGCUAUUAGUACUUAAAUAGUUAGACAUGUCCAAUCCAUCUAAGCUGACAGAUAUGUAUGACUUCAACCCUGAAACAAAUGUGGCCCUGUUGUCUUGGCGAUUAUCCUCCCCCAUGAGGUCAGUAGUCAUUGGUGAAGGUGUUCACCUUGUUCACAUUUAUUUAAAAAGCCGUCUAGCUAACCUUCUCAAACUGCCAUCAGGUUUGUUUAGAUUUAAACUUGGACAGAUGAUGAAUGCUGAUGGCUGUAGUAGGAAUAAGACCCACAACCAAACCAUUUGAUGUCUCAUGUUGGGGUUCUUCAGGCUGCUCAGGUGCUUGCUUGGUCUGUGGUCAUUUCAAGACUGGACUACUGCAGCUCUCUGGUCUGGUCUACCUCUGGUCUUCCGCUGAUGGAGGUGGUGGUAGCUCAAGUGGUUAAGGCUCUGGGUCGUGGACCGGAAGAUCGGGCCCCAGCACUGCCAAGCUGCCACCAUUGGGCCCUUGACCAAGGCCCUCAACCCACCUUGCUCCAGGGGUGCUGCAUCAUGGCUGACCCUGUGCUCUGACCCCAAUUUCACUGUGCAGUAAGGUAUAACAACCUUUUCAACCUGCCCCAGUUCUCCUACACCACCCCACUGCUGCUCCUCUACUGGCUUCUGGUAGCUGCGGUAUCAGAUUCAGAACACUGAUGCUUGCCUAAAAAGCCAAGAAUGGACCAGCUCCAUCUGACCUCAAAGCUCUUAUUACUCCUCACACUGCACCUUGCUCCCUCAGGUCCACUAGCUCUGCUCCACUGGUCCCACCAUCUCUCAGGGUAAGAGGUAGGUCAACAUCUAGACUCUUCUCUGUUCUGGAACCGAGGUGGUGGAAUGAACUUGCCCUAGAUGUCCGAACAGCCGAGUCACUGACCAACUUCAAACGGCGGAUGAAGACCUACCUCUUGCUGAAACACUUAAACUAGCUUUGUUUUAUAUGAUGUUGUAUGUUGUAUGUAGAUUUUUAAAAAACAGUUUGCAGUUUUUCAGCUGAUGGUAUCAUAAAUCUGUGAUCUAAUGAACCAAUGUUAAUGUGUUCACUGACAGAGACUUCAAAGCACUCUUGUACAUCGCUGUGGAUAAGAACAUCUGCCAAAUGCCAGAAAUAAAUGAGCCCUUACACUGCAGACAACCAACACAGCCCUUUCUCCACCAAGCACCAUUACAAGUGUCUUACUUCCUUACAGUUUCUAUGAAAAAUAACACAGUCAAGUUUGUUCAAUCCAGUGAAUAUUUACUGUUCUACAAAAACUGUGUAUGUAUAUACAGAAAUGAAGAUACUGAAGAUUUGAGAUUUGGAAGCACGUGGGAAGAAAAGCAUUAGACUCCACAGACAUCAUGUUCCUGUGAACUAAAACAGAAUCAUUUACAGUCCUUCAAAACAGAUGAUCCAAUCCCACUCUUCUGUUUAGACCUGGAAUUUAUUAUUGUUGUUUUCUGCAGAUGUUCAGAUCACCCAGAACCAUCCAAAUACUCUACCAAGCGAGGAGGAGCGUGGGAAUUAGCUCUAAUCAUCUUCGGAGGAUGAUGAAGAGAGAUUUGAUUCUACAGGGCGUACUUACUUUUUUUUAUCCACUGAGCAACGUCUCGUCUUCUACAGCUGUCUGUUUAACCAACACCAAUAACCUCAAGCCAACUGAUCACAAUCUCAUCACCCCCGAAAUGCAGAAUAAAGAGACAAGAACGAGAACCUUUUAAAAAGGUGCGUGUCCCAACACAGGAUAGCGAAUUCCUUUGGACAAGACUAAUCUGGAUUUAAUUACAGCCGUGGGUUUUCAGUGUCUUGCAGACCCCUUUGCUCAUCACGUCUUGUUGACUUUACCUGCUCUCGAGACGCAGUGUCUAAUUUGACGAUCACUUAAUUAACCGAGCCCUUCAUUAUAGAUCAGGCGAAGUCAACUUUCACAUAGUUGGACGGACAGAGACGUCGGACAGUUACACAGAAAGAGUAGGAAGCUUGAGAAGCCGUCCUGAAUAGAGGAGGAGGAUCAGAUCCACCACUUAUCUGUUUACAAGGACGUCCUAACGUGUAUUUAUACAUCACACCUGCAGACAGUCGUGUGAUUUUAAUGACAACCCUAGUCUCAGACGAAGGAUUAAACCCCAGUGAAUUCCCAGCCUUCAGUUUAGCCUAAUCAUUCCUGUUAAUAAGUUUCAUCUAUACUCCAUGCCCUCUCCACUUUUCACUCUCACACACUUUCUGUCCUUUGAAUCAUUUUCCCCCCUCUUUUCCUAUAAACUAUUAGAGAAGUUUCUGUCCCAUCAAAGAACCCCAUUUCCCCAGAAAGUUGAAAAAGAUGAAAGGAUAAGAAGGAGAAAAGGGGACAAAAGAGCAAGGUGUUGAGUUACAAGCCUGCCCCUCUGAGAGUGUCCAUGAAAGAGUCUGGGCAUGGGAGAGAUGGACGAGACAGAGAAUGACAGAAAGACUUGCAGAAUGAAAGGAAGAGUGAGUCAAACAGGUAUGAACUCAGACACACACACACAGGAACUUUUAUCAGCUUUUUUUGGAAAUAGCCUGAAAAUACAUUCUCUUAACACACCCACGGAAGAAAGCGGUCCUCCUCGUGAGCUUUCCCUUCCUCCCUGUGGUAUUCCUCCCUGUUGGCAUUUGGUAGUCGUUCCCUCGUAAUCUCCGUCUCCCUCCCACCAUUCUGCAUCUCUGGCUGUGUUUCGACUUGCCUCGUAUGCACUUAGAUAUUUCAGCCCCAGGGUCUACAGCUACAGAUAAAGGCAGAGAGGCGAAAAGAGAGGUGAGAGAAGAGACAUUUUUUCCGAAAGGUGCUGCAGGAUAUAGUCACGCAGGGCGACAAAAGUUUAGAACGCUUUCACUCGUUUUUUACAUACUUGAGCAGAAAUGAAUACACACUCAUCCCCUGACUCAUACACACACACACUCUCACUCACUCAUUUGCUCCACUGCUCACAAACUGUUCCACGUUCCUGCUCUCGGGCCAUUCACAAGAAAGCUAGAAGGCUUUGUCACGUCUCUGAACCAGCAAUUCCCGUUUACACAAGGAGCAUUUUUACACCCUAAACCUCAGAUGCUUAUUCAGACACUCCUCUUGCGCACACACACACACACACACACCUGAAAGUGACAAAAGAGUGGAUAUUUACAACCAGAGCUGGUUUUUCUGUUUCAGCUUCCAGAUGAAGUGAUUGACACGCUUUCGAACACAUCAUUUUAAUGUCAAUACACCACCAGAAAUUAAACUCCCAAGCGGUGAGGAAAUAAAUCUGACCCUAAAGCUCUACUUCCUCCCGUUUUUUUUUUUUUUUUUCUGUAGUGACGCUUUAUGAAUGUAACUGAGUCAGGUUCAUUUCCCCAGACGUGGAAAUCCCAACCCUGUGCAAUCACAAUCUGUAAUGUAGCUAUUAUGGCAAUUAUUGAAAAUAGAGCUGUCAGGGAAACGAACGCUCUGUUCACACACACACACACACACAUGUCUCGGGCUUACUUCAACCUGAGGUUAACCUUAAGGUCAAUUACAGACCUCUUUGCCACGCAGGGUCCAACCCUCAUUAAAUCCUUUCUUUCUUGUAAUCCCAUUUUCUCCGUCUUUGCCAAUCCUCAAAAAUCUCUCUUUCCCCCCCAGCAACACUCACCUCACGUCACCCCCACCGCCCCACACACCCUCCCUAUCCACCACACUGCCACCUUCAGAACCAUUAAAUCUCCCCGUGUGUUCCCUUUCCCACCCCCUCGCAUGUGUUUCCAAUUUCAGCCACGCCGUUCGGCUUGCCGCAGCCUGACCUAAUUCUCCUGGACCUGCCCCAACAGCAGCAAAAAACCACCAAGGCAGGCAAGGUAGAGGUCAAAGGUCAAGGGAUGCCAGCAGGUACAACAGUCUCAGAUGGAUAGGUCUCUCAUGCCUCCAGCCAGCCAGAUAGUGUGAACCUUCCCUCAUUUCGAAAAACUCAUGGUUCACACCCAGCCAUGCAUCCGAGCUCGUUGAUGAGGUCGCCAGAGCCUGAAAUUGGAUUCGAAGGUCAGAGGUCACAAGUUCAGGGCACUUGUAUAUCCAAACACGAGACAAGCUACAUGCUCAUCACUCAUCAGCGUCCACUUGAAUGAGCAAACAGAUGUACAGAUAAUACAAUGGACGUGUGUUAUUUCAGCAAUGCUCGGAAAGGUCCAGGAAUGAGAGGUGGCAGUGAGGGAUUUAUGAGGUUCAGGAGGAGGUUCUGCUUGGAAGAAGGCCUUUAUUAUGGGAACAGCAGGUUUUCUUCAAUUUGUCUGAUGGCUGAUUAGAACCAGGUUUAACCCUAAAGGACAGUGAAGGAGUUGAGGGUGACGGGGUGCGACUUCACACUGCGGAUCUUUAUGAUGUCUGUGUGCUGAGUUUAUAAUAGUGAAUAGAGCGCGUAUCUAAAACCACAGGAUUUUAUGACCUCCAUGCAUUCAGCAUUCCUGUCUCGCUUUUCCCUCAGCAUGAUCACAUCCCCAUUCCUCACUCAACAUUAUUUCAUAAUCAUAUCCGCUCGUGCAAGGUAUCUAGCUUAAUAAUGAUAACAUCUGUGAUGCGGUUAGGUUUAUGAGACAAGUUCAAUUUCGAAUUCCGUCACCGCGUCAUAUCGCUGGCUUGAGCUGGCUGAUUUUACAAGACCAAGCCAUCUUGUCUGCUCAGCAGAAAUGAUCCAAAAGCAACUAGUCGAACUUGUUUGUCUGCAUCUCCCUGAAGAGUCGGACCACCGUUACGAAUGAAACGUUUCCCAGGAAUCGGAUAAGAUCUGAAAUCGGCUCAGCUUGUGUGUUUUAGUGUUUUGUUUUUUCGCUGUGAGAAACCUAAGGCUUUGCUCCAUUACUGCUCUGCUACGACGCAAUGCAAGUUUUUAAUUAAGCGAUACGCGAAAGACAUUUUCCACUACAAAUGGUUUGUUUGUAAUGAAAUGUUUGGAUUGGAUUUUCUUCUCUGCUCCGACUGGCUUUAGUUAUUCGCUAGAAUUCUAAACAUGUAAGAUCCACUUGCUUCAGGAGGAGAGUUUCGGUUUUCCCAUCGCCGUUGCGUUAGAUCAGUUCAAUCAUACGUCCCUUUAAUACGUCUGGAGCCGGUUUACAAGUCGUAUCACGUUUAAAGCCAUUUUUUUCCCGUCUCGUGGAAAUAUCCCACUGCAGACUUGAAUACGUUGUUUGGUUUCGGUCGGGUGAUUGGUAACAGCCAGAGCACAUGGUCAAGAUUCUUGCACGUCACAUGGACCAUGCUCCAAAGCUUUUCUGAAACGUUGACUCAUCUCACACAAGAUUUUCCAGUCAGAUCUCAUUGUCCAGAGCAGGUAACGUUGAGCAAACACUCCCCCGAGUCAAUCCGCCCCCUCAGGAAACGCUCAGAGCUUUGAUGAGCUCACUUGUCUUCCUGUGAGUCCAUACAAUGUCCUCUGAAGUACCUGUGACCUUGAAUUCGGAUCGCUACCUCAAGCUGACUUUGUGGAACGUUUCUGUUGAUUCCAGACUGUUCUGUCGACUUUACUGAUACAUCAGACUUUUAUUAUGGAAUAUAUUUUGACAGGUUUAGCUGCAGUUCGAUAACUCAGACCUAGUUGCUAAGGCUAAGCUCGGGUUCAGCAGCUCAAACUCAGUUACUACGUCAACACUGUUUAAAAAUCCAAUCUAAGAAACAAAUCAGAUUUCCCCCUAAAGUCACAUGGGACAAUAUAUAGAGAUGUCCUUAGUCUAUAUUAGUAAUAUUUUGGCAUGUUACAUCGUCCUCGCUCCUCAGAGUGAAGAUUUAAAGCUCUUCCUCUUCAGAAAGGAUAACAUCUUGAUCUUGCUUUCUCUGCAUUUACCUGAAGUUAAUCACAUACUGUUCUGUUUUUUAUACAUAAAGGGAUGUAAUUAGGGUCCAAAAAUCAGGGUAUAUUUAUGAGAAGAAAGAAUCAUUUCUUUGUGCAUUUUUAAAAUUUUAUUUAUUUUAUUGUGCCCGACUUCAGAAACACACAAGAUGCUGUAAUCAAGGUUAUGACAUCAUAAUGUGAUCACAUGAUUUAGAUUAUUUGUUAAUUAGACCUUUAGUUUACUUUUCAUUUGCUAAAUGAAUAAAAUAAUGUUUCAGGUUUUUGUUUAUUCCAAUUGCUUUCCUCAGGUUUGCUGAUUCAGAGUUAGCAUCAUAAAAACAUUUCCUAUGCUCAUUUACUAUGUGAUUAUGUUGAUGUUCUAUAAUAUACUGUGUAUUCUUUUAUACACUGAUCAGGCAUAACAUUAUGACCACCUACCUAAUAUUGUGUCGGUCCCCCUUUUGCUGCCAAAACAGCCCUGACCCGUCCUGCACUGUGUAUUCUGACCCCUUUCUAUCAGAACCAGCAUUAACUUCUUCAGCAGUUUGAUCAACAGUAGCUCGUCUGUUGGAUCGGAUCACACGGGCCAGCCUUCUCUCCCCACGUGCAUCAAUGAGCCUUGACCGUCUAUGACCCUGUCACCGGUUCACCACUGUUCCUUCCUUGGUCCACUUUUGAUAGAUACUGACCACUGCAGACCGGGAACACCCCACAAGAGCUGCAGUUUUGGAGACGCUCUGAUCCAGUGGUCUAGCCAUCACAAUUUGGCCCUUUUGGUCAAACUCGCUCACAUCCUUACUCUUGUCCAUUUUUCCUGCUUCUAACAUCAACUUUGAGGACAAAAUGUUGACUUGCUGCCUGAUAUAUCCCACCCACUAACAGGUGCCAUGAUGAGGAGAUACUCAGUCUUAUUCACCUCACCUCUCACUGGUCAGUGUUAUACCUGAUUGGUGUACAUAGCACUUUUAAUAAUGGACAUUGUCUCAAAGCACCUUUACAGGACAUAAGAAAUAUAGAACAAAAAGUUCAAGAUUAAUAUUAGACUUAUAUUUAAAUUUAUUUGUAUUAAUCCAUAGUGAGCGAGCCUGAAGCAACUGUGGCAAGGAAAAACUCCCUUAGAUGCUAAGACGAAGAAACCUUGAGAGGAACCAGACUCAGAAGAGAACCUCAUCAUCAUUUGGGUGACACCAGAAGGUGUGAUUAUAAAUAAUGUCCUUUCUUCAGUCAUUGGAGUUCCUGAGCGACUCAUAAAUUUGCCCAACAUCUGAGUUCAUUAUAGAAUCAACACCAACUCCUCCAUGCCUUCAGAUGCUCAAUGAUGGAGAUACAGCAUGUGUAGAAUGUUAUUUUGUGUAUUGAUUAGGAGAUUGUUGUCCUCAAAGUCCACAUGGAGUUUGCAUCUUUUCUUCGAAUCUUCAUGAAGCAGAAUCCAACUGGAGCUGGUACAUCUCUGGAUGCCUCAGGAUCCUCGCAAGGUUGGCCUCUUCUCACUGAAGGUCCGAAUUUUUCAUAAAGAAUACAAUCAUCUUAAAAUCUCGCCUAAAAGAGCUAGUUUAAGCGUUCAGGAAGAGGUAGGUCUCCAUCUGUCUUUUAAACUUUUAGGGGAACCACCUCGGUGCCAGAACAGAGAAGAGUCUAGAUGGAUACCUACAGAGAGAUGGUGGGAGCAGAGAUGAUCUCUAACAUCUCUUCUACACACACAAAGUCUAUAGCUGAGGUCUGAAUGAUCCAGUUCACAGCGUUGACUGAUCUUAACUCUGAACUGACUUUAAAUCUGUCCUUUUUGUCACUUUUUUUCUGCUUAUACACAAAUAUUUUGUGACUAUCUAAACAACUCUUAUACACUUCUACAAACCAACAGCUUCAUGUCUUUAAGGUUCUGAACCCUUACAGAUGCUUUCCAGGCUUUUUCCAGUGCUUUAAACUGCUCUGGAUCAAAAAAAGUCCCCCAUUCAUCAAAAAUAAACAAUUUAUAAUUAAAUGGAGAACAUUUUAUGCAAAUCCAGUGUAACUCUAUGGGUUUUCCAACACUGGGAACUUUUAGCCUGUGUGCUGAUAAGGAUCUUCGUCUCUUCUCUGACCGCACUUCAAACCGAGCGAAUGAAUUAACUGGCCCCUGUAUUUACUCCCAGAGAGAACACUCCAGCACAGAUCUUUGUGGAUAUUUCCCCCGAAAUAGCAAGUACUCUGUGUAUUAUCUGGACAGUGUUUUUAAACAUGCAGAUCUGAUUGAUUCUAUGGACAUAAAAUCCUUCCUACACACACACAUUCACUGUGUAACACAUUGUAAACGCUUCGGACCGGCGGUGUGGAGUUUCAGCGGCCGGCUUUGUGUUUAAACCACUCCGGCAAUUAGCGAGGGAUAGACUUACAGCACAUCCGUCACACAAAAGAGAGAGAGAGAGAGAGAGAGAGAGAGGGAGAGAGAGAAAAAUUGAGAGAGAGUGAGAAAAGUGAGGGAGAGAGAAAAAAAGUGUGUGUAUGAGACAGAGAGAGACAGACAGAGAAAGAUAUAAAAAUUGAGUGACAGAGAGAAAUUUAAAAGUGUGUGUGUAUGAGAGAGAGAGAGAGAGAGAGAGAGAGGGAGAGAGAGUUUCAGAGAGAGUUCUUCAGGCCUUUCCAUCUGGCCAUCCUUUGGGACAGGGUGUGUGUGUGUGUGUGUGAAAGAGAGACAACGGAAUGUGUGUGUACACGUUUGCCUGUUUUUGCGUGUGUGGGACGUGGGAUCGCUUGUGAGUGAGUGAUGAGUGCAAGUGUGUAUUCUGCGCCACUGUGCUCUUUGUUCAUGCGUAUAAUCGUAGUAUUGCUUCUCAUUCAUGUGAGUGUGUGGUAUGAGGAAGAGAGAGAGAGAAAGAGAGAGAGAGAGAGAUAAGGAGAGAUAGAGAGAGAUUUAGCCUAAUUAAGGGAUCUUCCUAAACCCCACCUUAGCUGUAUGGCUUUACAGUAAAGCUGAUGGUAUAUCUGCUGGAGCUGCGGCUAAUCCGGUCUGCCUCAGUCCUCUGGCAGCAACCCCCCCCCCACCCCCGUGGCUAACGUGACAGCUCUAUAGGAACGCCACUCCUUUAUAGGAACUUCAGUUUUUUAUAGGAACUCCACUCCUUUAUAGGAACUCCACUCCUUUAAAGCGUUCCUCUGUCCAGCGUCUGCUUGUUUAGGGAAAGUAAAGGAAACGUGUAGCUCUGAACUUCACUGACCAGCCUGAAUAUCACACCCACUGGCAGGUGACUUACACUGACCAUCUAACCAUCUGAUUAUAGUCACACCUGUCCUCAAGACAAAAAGCUCUUCUCUUUCCUUUACCUUGUAUUCUGUUUUCUUUCUUUCUUUCUUAUCUCUGAUUACAGUCACACCUGUCUUUCAGCAGUGAGAUAUUGUUCUGCAGAAGUCAGCUGAACUCAAAGCAGGAAAAAUUGGAAAGUCUGAAGGAUCUGAGCGAUUUAGACAAGGCACAGAUUGAGAUGUCUAGACGACUUCUCCAAAACAGCAGCUCUUCUGUGGUGUUCCAGAUGUGCAGGGGUUAGAACUGACCAAAAGUGCUCCAAAGAAGGACAAGCGGUGAAUCAGUGUCGGGGCAUCCAAGGCUCUGAUGAACCUUCAUCUAAGGCUCCAAGGCUCUAACUGUCUGGUCCCAUCCCACAAAAGAUCUACUGCUGUAGAAGAAUGCCAUCAGAAUGACCAUGCUGACUCCUGGACACCACCCAAAGCUCCUACAAAGGACAUGUGAGCAUCAGAACUGGACCAUGAAGCAGUGGAAGAAAGAAGGCCUGGUCUGAUCGAUCACGUGUGGAGGUUCGGUGUGUGCGUGCGCCAGAAGACAUUACACCAGGAUGCACUAUGGGAAGGCAGUGUGAUGUUCUGGACAAUGUUCUGCUUGGAAACCUCAAGUCCUGCUGUUCAUGUGAGACACAUAGCACCUACCUAAACACUGCUGCAGACCAAGUUCACCCCUUUAUGCUAAUGUAUUCCCUUUUAGCCUCUUCCAGCAGGAUGAUGCUCACUGACACACUGCAGGCAUUCUUCAGGAGAAGUUUGAGGAACACGAGGAAAGAGUCCAAGGUGUUAGCCUCCAAAUUUCCCAGAUCUCAAUAUGAUAGAGUGUCUGUGGGAGUAUAAAGUCAGAAGUCAGCUAAAGUCAGAACUUACUGGACCUCCCGCUAGCAUCUUGGUGUCAGAUACCACAACACACCUUCUGAGAGUCCACAUCUUCAGUCAGAGCUGUUUUGGUGACAUGAGCAGGAUCUACACCAAAUAAGGUUUUAAUGUCCUUUGGAUGUCCGGGCUUAAAGAUCUUGGAAUUUCUUCUGUUUACUCCAAGUGAAAAAUCUCUGUUGUUUUUGUAGUAGUAGUGAGUCAUACAACUUGGAAUAGGAAUCUAUCUAGAAAGUGAUUCAACUCUGAUUCAACCAGCAGGAAGUGAAUCAAUCAUGGGGUGGGUUUUGGGUUGCAGCAUGUUUUAAGUUUUUAAAAGCUAGAAAUGUAAUGCAGCAGAAAUGCCAUUCUU